UACGUAGGGGGCAAGCGUUAUCCGGAUUUACUGGGUGUAAAGGGAGCGUAGACGGCGUGCCAAGUCUGAUGUGAAAGGCCGGGGCUCAACCCCGGGACUGCAUUGGAAACUGGCAUGCUAGAGUACAGGAGGGGUAAGCGGAAUUUCUAGUGUAGCGGUGGAAUGCUUAGAUAUUAGGAAGAACACCAGAGGCGAAGGCGGCUUACUGGACUGCAACUGACACUGAGGCUCGAAAGCGUGGGGAGCAAAUGGG
rnacentral:rRNA from 1 species